GGGCUGGUAGGGUGUUGUGGAACAUUGCCUAUAUACCUGCACUUUACAAAGCACUUUAUGUUUGCUUGGUGUCGGCUGAUGGUGCAAGGAAUGGAUGAAAGUGUGCCUGUCGGUGGGUCUGGGGGCUCGUCAGUCACCCCAUGUCGGAGGAGGAGACCCUGGGCUCGGAGCGGGUCAGAGGCCAUUCUGGGGACAUUCGUAUGCCCAUGGGGUUCUGGGAUUCAGCCUCCUGGGGCCAAGAGGGGCCUUUCCUUGAUACCAUGGUCCAGGGCCUCAAUGCCCAGGAAGCAGAGGCCACACUGCUAGGAGGAAAGCCCCCUGGUGCACCCCAGACCCGGCCUCCUGGGAUUAUUACUGGGGCUGGAACUUGCCUCCCUUCACCUAGAAUUGACUGUGACUCCAAAGGGCCAGGCCUUAGCCCAACCGCCCCCCCCCCGCCCCCACCGCGACAGCUUGUACUCAUGUCGCCUGCAAGCAUAAGGCUUCCAGAGGGUUUCUGCAGCUUGGGACCCCUGGACCAGGGAUUAAUCUGCACCCCUUCACCACGGCUGCCACAUAGCCCCCAGUACCAGGUAGAUGCCUGAUGUUGGUAUUGGGUGAUUGGCCCAGGUUAGGCUCCGGUGUUGUCCUGGCCCAGGAAGGGCUCAGUGGGACGGGUGUCCCUAGCCUGGGUCAGGGGGUGGCUGUGUGCCUGUGCCUGCCUGGAUGUGCAUGGGUGUGCAUACCUGUGUGUGUGUGCAUGUGUGAGUGUGCAUGCACGUGCAGUCUGCGCCUGUGUGUGCAUGCAUGUGUGGGAGAGGCAGCUGGUGGAGAGCGACUGGAAGUGAGAGACAGAGUGGGUUUCUUUCUGACCCCAGACACCCUGAGCACGGAUUCACCUCUGCUUCUCCUGAGACCCGCUCCCCGUAGUCACCUCUGCCACAAGCCCCCCGUAGUUUGUGCUCCAGCCCAUCUUUGUGUCCAGCUCUGCCGCAUUGGGCAGAAGAGUGGCAGCCUUGGUUCCCAACCCUCUACCCUUUACUGUCCACCCCCAUCCUCAUUUCCUCUCCUUGGCAGUGCUGUCACAGGUAGGGGAUCCUGCCCCCGCGCGCUGCCGACACCCCCUCUCAGCAGCUCUGUCUGGUCUACCCCGUCCUGUGUCUGGAGUGGAGCCUUCCCCUCCCACGGCCCCCCAUCUCCUACCCUCUUCCCUGGGAUUCCGACCAGCCCUGCCCCAGCCCUUAGACCCCAGCUUCUGGGGCAGCUCACAGUAGAAGCUCAGCCACCUCAUGGAGAGGGACAAGAAUGGGUUGAGCGAGGGUCCUUGUGCCCAGCCUCCCCAGCCUCCCUUGCUGCUGCCUGGGGCAUCUCUUAGCUGGUGACGAUGGCCGGAGACCUCAGGACCACACCGACGACAGAACCUUGGACCUGGAGGAGGCCUGUGCCCCCGAUGGCGCUCGGCCCAGGUGCUGCCUGAUCCAGAGGUGUCCAGGCCCAGCUCGUGGGUCCUGGGUCCCUCUUUUUCUCCCUCUAGACUUUGGGGGUCCAUCUCAUGCAUGUCUGUCACCAUGGGCUCCAUCAUCAUGGCUUCCAUCACCCAGCAUUGCUUCACCGUCACCUGCAACUACUGGGUCCCAGGACCUGGUCCAUCCUUCCCCCUGGGCUGGUCAUCUCCGGCUCCCAUCACGUCCGUCCAGUCUGUGUCAUCCUGGGCACAGCAUCUCAUCUCUAUCACGGUGGACCUGGCCAUCACCCAUCCAUCAUCUGCCUCACCUCCAUCAUCCUCGCUUCGGGGCUCCCUCUGGCCUCCAGGGCCUUGUACAUGGUAGGCUUUCAUUCAUUCGUUUGCACAUUCGGUGAAGGUCUUCCGUGUGCCAGGCUCUGUGCCAGGCAUCAAGUAAAGGGACGUUGCCCUUGGGAGCGCACGCCUCGGGGAGAAGCACAAGAGCCGGCGGAUGGCAGAGAGCCUGGCCCAGGGUGACUUGCAGACAUGGUGCAGAGAAGGGCAAAUCUGACUGCAUGGGGGCAGGGGGUGGCGGUGCUCGGUCAAGGUUCUGCUGAGUGGGGUCUGGAAGGAGAGGUCACAUGUGCCCUCUUUCUUACCUGCUGGUAGCUGACAUCUCAGAAAUGGCGCCAGGAGCCUAGGGCCUCCCAGCUUGCCCACUGGGACCUUGCCCCUGAACCCCUGACAGGUUCCUGCACCUCCAGAGCCUGGCUGCUUGCACUCUGCACCCCAUGCUCUGGGUCAGUCUUCUUGCUGUCCCCUUGUUUGAGAUCAUCCAGUCCUACCCAGAUCCUUUGAUGUCAUUCCCUUUCUAGACGAGUAAAACUGAUGCUCACACAGGGUCCCUGAGUGUCACGUGUCAGAAUGCAGAUGGAGGGUAAGGACCAAAUUUUGUGCUCUUUCCAUUAAAGUUGAAAUGAAUGAAUGAGUGACGUGACAUGAAAGAGGGCAAGUUUGGGGAGAAGAGGACCUUACUUCUCAUUGUUCAGGCCUGGAGUGGUUUCAAUGCAGAGUCAGACCACAUUGGAGGAAGAGGAGUUGCUGGGGAGGAAGGGGUGGGCCCAGUCUGUGAAGGAGUGUUCAUGCUUCUGGGGUAAAAUCAGAACAUAGCGGACAAGCCAGUGAAUUUUGUGUAAAGCAAAAUUUAUUCCAUUGUAAGAAUCUGAGCUAUGUCUUUUCUACUUUGGGGCUAUUACAGUGAACUUCUGCUCUCUAAAAUGACGGUGGUCAAGGAUGGGAAUUGCUUUGUCUAUCAGAUUUAAUGUUUUUGGUUGGCCAAGUGUUGGUUGUCAGAUAACCAUUUUGGAAAUUUCUAGGUCUUGGAGAGCCCAGAUAUGGGACCCUCUAGUGUCCAUGAAGACCCUGUGGAUGUUCGAGGGAGAGGGGGUGUGGACUUGUUGGGUUUGACGGUGCCUCAGCUGUCUUAAUGGUCCCCUUCACGGAUUGGAGUAGACUCAAUUUUAGGGGACCUUGGUGGUCUUCAGGAGAAGUUUCAGGUUAGCUAAUUGGAAUUGUACUUUUGGUGCAUGAACUUCUGUAACUUUUGGGAUUGUUUAGUUGCCUGUCUUAAUUAGAUUCUGAAUCAGAAUUAGCGUGGUGUGUGCAGACUGCCUUGGGGUCUGGUAGGAUGAGGUGGCCCCCUGGGUGUCCCACCUUCACCCCAGGAUGCCCAUCACUCUCAGUGGGAUGUUCAUGGGAUGUUCCUGAGGGUGAAAACCACUGCUAGGUUCAUGUGUCAACCAAGCCCCUCCUUGAACAUGUGUCACACUGAGCCCCUCCUCUACUUGUGUCCCAUGGAGCCCCUCCUCACUCAUGUAUUACACUGAGCUCCUCCUCCACUCAUGUGUCACACCUGUGUCCAUUCCCUACUCGUGUGUCACCCUGAGCCCUCUCCCUGAUCAUGAGUAGCACUGUCUUCCCUCACUCCUGUGUCUCAUGGUGCCCCUCUAGUGCCUCCACCGAUGUGUUAUACUGAGCCCCCUCACUCAGGUGUCACACUUGAGCCCAUCUCCCACCCGUGUGCCACACUGAGCCCUUCCCAGGUUCAUGGGUCACAUAUAGCCCCUCCAGCACCCUUAUGUCAUACUGAGCUGCUCCCUCACUCAUGGGUCACACUGAAUCCAUGUGUUAUGUGGAGCCCCUCCCCCACUUAUGUGUCACAUGAAAUCCCUCCCCCACCUAUGUGUUUUACUGAGCCCCUGUGAGACCCAUGUGUCACACUGAGCCCCUCCCCUACUCAUGCAUCAUAUGGAGUCCCUUGCCUACUCAUGUGUCGCAUAGAGUUCCUCCACCACACUUGUCUCAUACAGCACCUCCGUCACCCAUGUGUCUCACCAAGACUCUCCACUCAUAUGUCACUCUGAGCCCUUCCACUAACCUGUGUGUCACACUUAGUCCCUUCCUCACUUGUGUCCCGUGGAGACCCUUCACUUGUGUGUCCACCAAGAGCCCCACUCAUGUGUCAUGCUAAGACCCUUUCCCACCCUUGUGUCAUCUUGAGCCCCUCACUCAUGCAUCAUUAUGAAGUCCCUCCCAUUUCAUGUGUCACACUGAGCCCCUUCCUCCACCAUGUGUUACAUUGAGCCCCUCCUCCUCUCAUGUGUCACAUGGAGCCCCUCCUCUACCCAUGUGUCACACCCCCCCCAACUCAUGUGUCACCCUGUGCCCUUCCCCUCAUGCAUUAUAUGAGCCCCUCCUCCACUCAUGUCACUGAGCCCCUCCUCUACUCAUGUCACUGAGCCCCUCCUCUUCUCAUGUGUCCCAUGGGGCUCCUCCUCCACUCAUGUGUCACAUUGAACCUCUUCCACACUCAUGUGUCAUACGUAACACAGAGCCCCUCCCCCUACUCAUGAGGAGGACUGAGCCCUUCCCCACUGAUGGUGCCCCUCUUCCACCCAUAUGUUAUACCGAGCCUUUGCAUUCAAGCAUUACACUUAGUCCCUUUCCCAUCCAUAGGCCACACUGAACCCCUCCCCUACUCAUGUGUCACACAAAGCCCCUCCAGCACCCAGAUGUCAUACUGAGUCCCUCACCUCUUCAUGUGUCAACUGAGCCCAUCCUCUACUAUGUCAUAUGGAGCCCCUCCCCCACCCAUGUGUCACAUCAAGUCCCUCCCCCUGUGUGUCACACUGAGCUCCUGUGACAUCCAUGUGUCACACUGAGCACUCCUCACUCAUGUGUCGCACUGACCCCAUCCCCCACUCACGUAUCAUAUGGAGUCCCUCCCCCACUCAUGUGUCACAUUGAGCCCCUCCCCUACUCAUGUAUCCUGGAGUCCUUUUCCCAACUCAUGUCACAUAGAGCUCCUUUCAAACUCGUGUCACACUAAGCCCCUUACUGCACUUGUGUCAUACUGAUCUGCUCCUCCCUUCCAUGUGUCACAUCGAGCCCCUCCUCCACCCAUGUGUCACAUGAAGUCCCCCCACUCAUGACACCCUGAGCUCUUCCUCCCCCCAUGUGAAACACUGAGUCUGUCCCCUACUCAUGUGUCAUGGGGCCCCUACUCCACUCAUGUCACACGUAUGUUCCUCACUAUUGUGCCACAUCCAGUCUUUCUUCCACCAUGUGUAACACUGAGCCCCUCCCCCUACUUAUCUAUUAAACUAAGUCUGUCUUUCACUCGUGUUACACUGACCACCUCCCCUAUUCAUGUGUCAUACCUAGUUUCUCACUCAUUCAUGUGUCACAUGGAGCCUCUCCCCGACUCAUGUCACACAGAGCCCCCUCCCCCACCUAUGAGCCACACCUAGUCCCUGUUCCACUCAUGUGUCACACUGAAACCCCCUAACCUGUGUGUCUCACUGAGUCCCUUCCCCACUUAUGUCACAUUACAUUGAGCCUCUUCUCCACUCAUGUGUCACAUAGAGACCCUCUGUCACAUAGAGCCCCUGUUUCACUCAUGUGUCACACCAAGUACCCUCGCUCAUGUUUUAUACUAAAUCCCUUCCCUGCUGUGUAUCACACUGUGUUUCUCCCCCAUUCACGUGCAUACUGAGCCCCUCACCAACUCAUGUCUCAUAUGGAACUCCUACCCGACUCCUCUGUCACACUGAGUCCCUCUGCCACUCACUGUCACACUGAGACCUGCCAUUCAUGGGCCACACUGAGCCCCUUCUGCACCCAUGUCACACUGAAUCCUCCCUGACUCAUGUGUCAUGCUAAACCUCUGCCUCCAAUCAUACAGUCCCCCUCCUAUUCGUGUCAUACUGAGUCCCUAUCUAAUCACGUGUCACACUGAAUCCCCCCUCAGUGUCACACUGAGACCUCUGCCACUCACGUAUCAUAUGGAGUCCUUCUCCCACCCACAUGCCACCCCGACUCCCUCCCUCACUCCUGUGUCACAUUGAGCCCCUCUUCCACUCUCAUGUGUCGUACUGAGCUGCUUUCCUCACCCAUGUGUUACAGUGAGCACCUCCCUCAUUCAUGUGUUAUCCUGAGCCCCUCCUCUACUCAUGUGUCAUCUGGAGCCCUUCCCCACUCAUGUGUCACACUGAGCCCCCACUCAUAUGUCAGAUGAUCCUCUCCCCACUCAUGUAUCACACUGUGCCCACUUCGACUCGUGUGUCUCAGAGCACCUCCUUCAUGCAUGUGACACACCAAACUCCCCACUCAUGUGUCACACUGAGUCCCUUUCCUACUUACGUGUCACAUGGAGUCCUUUCUCUGCCCAUGUGUCACACAGAGCCCCUCCCCUAUUCAUAUGUCACACUGAGCCCCUUCCCUCACUCAUGUGUCACACUGGAUCACUUCUCCACUCAUGACUCACAUGGAGCCCAUCCUCCACCCAUGCGUUAGACCCUGUACUCAUGUGUCAUACUAAGUGCCUCACUCGUUCAUGUGUUAUAUGGAGCUCCUCCCCACCUGUGUUACAUUGAGCCCCUCCCCCAUUCAUGUGUCACACAGAGUCUGUCCUCCCACCUUUGUGUCACACCAAGUCCUUUCCCUAUUCGUGUCACAUAGAGCUUCUUCUCCACCCAUGUGUUCUGCAGAGUCCGUCCCCUAUUCGUGUAUCACAUGGAUCCCCUCCCUGACUCAUGUCUCAUCUAGACCCCCCAACCAAUGUGCCAUAUGAAGUCUCUCCCCCACCCAUGUGUUAUACUGAGCACCUCCCCCACUCCUGCAUCACACUGAAAAUCCCUCCCCAUUCAUGUCUCAUUUGUGUCACACACAGCCCCCCAUUCGUGUCACACACAGGCCCUCUCACCCAUGUCCUACACUGAGUCCUUGCUACACUCAUGUGUCACUCUGAGCUCCUCCCCAACCUGUGUGUGACACUGACUCCCUCCCACUCAUGUUUCUCCACACGUGUCUCUUAGAACCCCUAUUCCACCCAUGUGUCAAACUGAGCCCCGCAAUUCAUGUGUCACACUGACCCCUCCCUUCCUCCCUCCCUCCUGUGUCCCACUGAGUCCCUCCUCCUCUUAGGUAUCAUACGGAGUCCCUUUCUACUCGUGUCACAUAGAGACUUUCCCCAGUUGUGUCACACUGAAUCCCACCAUUUUUACAUCACACUGAGCCCCUUCUGCACCCACAUGUCACACUGAUCCGCCCCCCGUCUAUGUGUCACAUUCAGUGUGUCACACUGGGCUCCCUCCUCCACUCAUGCAUCACACUCAGUCCCUCCUCAGUCUUGUGUCACCUUGACCCUCACCAGCUUAGGUAUCAUGGGGUCCCUCACCCACUCAUGUGUCACACAGACUCCCUCCUGCACUCGUGUAUCACAUAGAAUACCUUUUUCACCCAUGCGUCACACUCAGCCCCUCCAACACCCCUGUGUCACACUGAGUUCCACACUCAUGUGUCACACUGAGUCCUUCCCCCACCCAUAUGUCGCGUAUAGCCCCUCUCUCACUCACAUGGCUCACCAAGUCCCACCAAGUCCCACUGCUCAUUUGUCACAUGGAACCCCUCCCUCACUCGUGUUACGUGAAGCCCCUCCCCCAACCUGUGUGCCACAAUGAGCCCCGUUCUCAUUGCAACACCUAGUACCUCCCCCAUUCAUGUCACAUAGAGACACUCCCCCAGUCAUGUGUCACUGAGCCCUUAUCCUACUCAUGUGUUACACCAAGACCCCCCCCACCUAUUUGUAACGCCAGAUCCCCCACUCAUUCACGUGUUCCCACUGUCCCCCAUCAUGUGUCUUACUGAAUCCCUCCCCCAUUCAUUUGUCACAUUAGCCCCCCUCACCAGCUAUGCAUUACACUAAGCCCCUCCCCCACGUGUGUCAUAUAGAUCCCCUCUGACGACAGUAUGUCACGCUGAGCCUCUCUCUCUCAUGUGUCACUCCCAUAUCCUUGUGUCACCACAUGCCCUCUCCUACUCAUGUGUCACAUGGAGUCCCUCUCCCACUCAUGUGGAAUAUGGAGCCUCUCCUCCACUCAUGUGUCGCACUGAGUGUGGCCCACAACCCUGUGUCACAGUAUGCCCCUCCCUUACACAUGUGUCACACUGAGCCCCUCCCCUAGUCAUGUGUCAUGUGGAUUCCCUCUCCCACUGUGUCAAAUAGAGCCCCUCCCUCACUCCUGUGUCACACUGAACCCUUCCCACACCCCUGUGUCACGACAGGCCCCUCCCACAUCCCUGUGUCACACUGGGCCCCUCCCACACCCUUUUGUGACAACACGCCCCUCCCUCACUCAUGUGUCACACUGAGCCCCUCCCACACCCUUGUGUCACAACACGCCCCUCCCUCACUCAUGUGUCACUCUGAGCCCCUCCCCUCAUCGUGUCAUAUGGAUUCCCUCUCCCACUGUGUCAUAUAGAGCCCUUCCCUCACUCAUGUGUCACACUGAGUCCCUCCCAGACCCUGUGUCACAACACGCCCCUCCCUCACUCGUGUGUCACACAGAGCCCCUCCCCUCAUCAUGUGUCAUAUGGAUUCCCUCUCCCACUGUGUCAUAUAGAGCCCCUCCCUCACUCAUUUGUCACACUGAGUCCCUCCCACACCCCUGUGUCACAACACGCCCCUCCCACACCCUUGUGUCACAACAUGCCUCUCCCACACCCCUGUGUCACAACACACCCCUCCCACACCCUUGUGUCACAACAUGCCUCUCCCACACCCCUGUGCCACAACAUGCCCCUCCCUCACUCAAGUGACACAGUGAGCCCCUCCCCUAAUCAUGUAUCAUAUGGAUUCCCUCUCCCACUAAUGUGUCAUAUAGAGCCCCUCCCUCACUCAUUUGUCACACUGAGUCCCUCCCACACCCCUGUGUCACAACACGCCUCUCCCACACCCCUGUGUCACAACACACCGCUCACACACCCUUGUGUCACAACACGCCCCUCCCUCCCUCGUCACACUGAGUCCCUCCCACACGCUUGUGUCACAACAUGCCCCUCCCACACCCUUGUGUCACAACAUGCCCCUCCCUCACUCGUGUGUCACACAGAACCCCUCCCACACCCCUGUGUCACAACACGCCCCUCCCUCACUCAUGUGUCACACUGAGUCCCUCCCUAACCCUUGUGUCACAACAUGCCUCUCUGUCACUCAUUUGUCACACUAGCCCCUCCCACACCCUUGUGUCACAACACGCCUCUCCGUCACUCAUUUGUCACACUGAACCCCUCCCACACCCUUGUGUCACAACACGCCCCUCCCUCACUCAUGUGUCACACUGAGUCCCGCCCACACCCUUGUGUCACAACACGCCCCUCCCUCACUCAUGUGUCACUGAGUCCCGCCCACACCCUUGUGUCUCAACACGCCCCUCCCUCACUCAUGUGUCACACUGAGUCCCGCCCACACCCUUGUGUCACAACAUGCCCCUCCCUCACACAUGUAUCACAACACGCCACUCUCCCUCAAGUGUCACACUGAGCCCCUCCCCUAAUCAUGUAUCAUAUGGAUUCCCUCUCCCACUAAUGUUAUAUAGAGUUCCUCACUCAUGUGUCACGCUGAGCCCCUCCCACAUCCCUGUGUCACAACACGCCCCUCCUGCACUCAUGUGUCACACUGAGCCCCUCCCACACCCGUGUCACAACACGCCCCUCCCGCACUCAUGUAUCACAACACGCCAGUCCCUCACUCAAGUGUCACACUGAGCCCGUCCCCUAAUCAUGUAUCAUAUGGAUUCCGUCUCCCACUAAUGUGUUAUAUACAGUUCCUCACUCGUGUCACACUGAACCCCUCCCACACCCGUGUCACAACACGCCCCUCCCUCACUCGUGUCACACUGAGUCCCUCCCACACCCUUGUGUCACAACACGCCCCUCCCUCACUCAUGUGUCACACUGAACCCCUCCCACACCCCUGUGUCACAACACGCCCCUCCCGCACUCAUGUGUCACACUGAGCCCCUCCCACACCCGUGUCACAACACGCCCCUCCUGCACUCAUGUAUCACACUGAGCCCCUCCCAUACCCUUGUGUCACAACAUGCCCCUCACACACCCUUGUGUCACAACACGCCCCUCCCUCACCCGUGUCACGCUGAGCCCCUCCCACACCCUUGUGUCAGAACACGCCCCUCCCACACCCCUGUGUUACAUGCCUCUCCCUCACCCAUGGGUCACACUGAGCCCCUCCCACACCCCUGUGUCAGAACACGCCCCUCCCUCCCUCAUGUGUCACCCUGAACCCCUCCCACACCCCUGUCACAAUACGCCCCUCCCUCACUCGUGUGUCACACUCAACCCCUCCCACACCCUUGUGUCACACUGAGCCCCUCCCCUCAUCACGGAUCAUAUGGAUUCCCUCUCCCGCUGUGUCAUACAGAGCCCCUCACUAACUCAUGUGUCACACUGAGUCCCUCCCACACCCCUGUCACAACGCGCCCCUCCCUCACCCAUGUGUCACGUUGAUCUCCUUCUCUAUUCACGUAUCGUAUGGAGUCCCUUUCUUACUCAAGUAUCAUACAGAGCCCCUCCCUCCCUCAUGUGUCACACUGAGCCCCUCCCCUCCUCAUGUGUCACAUGGAGUCCCUCUCCCACUCAUGUCACACUGAGUCCCUGCCUCACUCAUGUGCUGCACUUAUUACCCCUGACUCGUGUCACAUAGAGCCUCUCCUCAACCCAUUUGUCACACUAAACCCUGUACCCGUGUGUCACACUGAGUCCCUCCUUACUCAUUUGUUAUAUGGAGCCCCUCCCCCACUCAUGUGUUACAUGUAGCCCCUCCCCACCCUUGUGACACAUGGAGCCAUCUCCACUCACGUGUCACAUGGAGGCCCUCCCCUACAUAUGUUGCAUGGAGCUCCUCUCUUACCCAUGUGUCACAUGCAGCUCCUCAUCCACCCAUGUGUCACGUGGAGCCCUCCCCCAACACAUGUUACAUGGAGGGCCUCCCCAAUGUGUAUUGCAUGGAGCCACUCCGUUACCCUUGUGUCAUAUGGAGUCCUUUCCCCACCCAUGUGUCACAUGGAGCCCUCCUCACUCACGUGUCACGUGGAGGCUCUUCCUUAAGUGUGUCGCAUGGAGCCACUCCAAUGCCUGUGUGUCACAUGGAGCCAUUCUCUACCGUGUGUCACAUGGAGCCCCUCCCCCAGCCAUGUGUCACAUGGAACCCCUUCCCCACCACGUGUCACAUGGAGCCCUUCGCCCCACCACGUGUCACAUGGAGCCCCUUCCCCACCACGUGUCACAUGAAGCCCCUUCCCCACCACGUGUCACAUGGAGCCCCUCCCCCACCACGUGUCACAUGGAGCCCCUUCCCCACCACGUGUCACAUGGAGCCCUUCACCCCCUCCCUCGCCUUCCCCCCUCCUGUCCCCAGUUCUCCUUAGGGCCAGAACUCCGCACCCUGGAGCUUUUCUUCCAUGUGCUGUUUAGGGGAUCUUCUGUCAUUAAGUCAUUAAUUCAGCAAUAACGGUGUUAUUGAACACCUACCGUGUGCCAGGCCGUGCAUCUGUGGGAGAGUGUGUUGAUGGUGCUGGUGGCUGCUGAGUCUGUGGCGAGGCCUGCAGCAGGGGAAGGCGGGCACGGUGGUCAAGAAAGAUGGGCAGGGACCAGGGAAGCUCUUUAUUUUUUAAAAACAACUUUAUUGGAUAUCUGCAUGCACGCAGUCCAGCCCCUGAAGUGCACAUGUCCGUGGUUUCAGUUUAUUCACAGAUACAGGCAACCAUCAGCAAUUCGGUUUUGGAGUCGUUCUGUCAUUUAUCCUGUAGCCUUUACCUGUCACCCCAUCUCCCCCUCCCCCAUCCUCCGACCCUGAGUAACCCCUGGCUGCUUUUUGUCUCAGGGAAACUAACCUCCUCUUGGGCUCAGUGACACCUCACUAGCUUCCCAGAGGUGUCCUGACACAGACGGUGAGGCAGGAAAAGUGGCCGGGAGUAGAAAGCUGCAGAGGGGGGAAAUCCGAGCCCCUGAUGCCCACUCACAGCUCCUGUGCCAGCUCAGGUCUGCUGCCCCUGGGGUCCCCAGGCUCCAUGCCCUAGCCUGUCUCCACAGCCUCCUGAGGCCUCCCUGUGGAGCCCAGCUAAGGGAGACCCAGGCCCUGGCCAGAGGAGGCAGCGGCAGGCCGCGGUCGGGCGAGGCACGCAGGCACCACCGUGCUGCAGGUCCCCAGCGGCGGGCAGUGCCGCCUGGGCUGGCUGUCCCUUACCGUCACUGCUGUCACCACGAGCAGCUGCUAGUGGCAGGUCCCACCUGCCGUCCGGGGUGCACACAAUGCUUCCGGGAGGAGGGUCGCGGCCGUAGUCAGUAGGUGGGGGGUGAGAACGGCUUCAUACAGGAGCUGAUGCGCAGUUACCCAGCUCCUAUGAGAUGCCUUUCCUCACCCCUUCACCUCGCGCAGCCCCCGGGCCCUCCUCGGCACCCCCGGCUGCACAGGGGUGCGUCUUCGAGCUUGCUGCUGCCCCGCCUCCACCUGGCGAGCUCCUCUCUCUCUCUCUCUUCUGCAGCUCCCCAGCUCCUGGAGGUGAGGGCCGGAGCCCCCGGGCCGUCUCUGAGGCCCCCCUCUCAGAGGGAAGGCUGGGUCCCCUGUGGGAUACUCCCCAGGGCUGGGCACUUGGUGGCCAUGAGCAGACAGGCCAGAGAUGGAGAUAGGGCCGGCCCUGGGGCUUUUGCCUGCUGUUGAUGGGGCUGCGGCUGUGCUCCCAUAGGCAGCCCUCUGAGGGGACCCAGCUCCCAGGACACAUGGGCAGGCUUUGCAGGGACGUGCCCUUUGUUCCCAGGACUGGGGGGCGCGGCUUGGACAGAGCAGGCUGACCCUUCCCACUGCCACAGGAGGAGGGUCUCCUUGAGGGGCCUUAGCCUCUACCCAGGAUUCUUUCAUGACCAGGAGGCUGAGGCCCCUCACAGGCGGCUGCUUACUCUCUCCCUAAACCGGGUCUGGAGACACUCCCAGCUUCCCAUGGAUUCCCGACUCUGGGUCCGGCCUCCCUGAGCCAGAGGCUGUCAGCAGGUGCCCCCUUCUUCCCCUUGUCCUGCCCUGCCCAGGCUGGGUGCCUGAGGGCACUAGACCAGUGUCCCCCUGUGCCAUGGCCCUCGUCUUUUGUGUCCCCCACUAACUCAGGUCCUGUGCAUGGUGGGAGGUGACCUGUGCCAAGCCCCUGUGCUACUGGAAUCAUUAACCCAUUGACCAGCCAUGGCAGCCAGCCCAGGCACACGCAUGGGGUGGCAGCGUAGGGGGAGGCCUUGCCCACAGCGUGAUGCCCUUAGAGUGGGACAGGAGGGGCUGGAUUUCCGUCUCCCUUCCCCUGCCUCCUAACUCUUGACCCCUUCUUUACCCCCCAUCCCCCACCCCGGUCCUGCACCUCCCCCCUCUGCCCAUCUUCAUACCUUUUAUCCUUCACAGCAUCAGGAGGUCCUUGUUGUUCAGGAAGGCCUUUCUGACCAGGGAAUAGCUUGAACAAAGGCAGGGGGACUUCAGGAGUGGUGGGAGUAUGUUGUGUGUGCCCUUGUUGGGUCAAGUGGGUCAGAACAAGACAUGACACAGGGAAGACUGAGGUCCUGGGAGGCCUCAGUGUCAGCCAAAGGAAGGCCUUUCACCUACUCAGGAAUGCCCUUGGGGAUAUAUAAGAGCUCCGAGGGGUGGACAGUAUGUGACACACGGUUGGCGGUGGUUCUCCAGCCUCCCGGGCACCAGGGCCCUGAAUCUCCAUGUUUGACAAGCUCCCCAGUGACUGCCCAGGGCCGCGCUUUGAGAAGCGCCUGUAGGAAGUGGUCGGAACACGGCGCUGCCGUCUCCGUGCUCCUGCCUCCACUAACCUGCUGGCCCGCCACCGCCGAGGCCGGCCACACUUGCUCUGUCCUCUUUUCUGGGGCUGCUCUUCUUUACCCUUGGGCUUUGGCUGCCUGGGUAGCUGUUGAAAUCUUAGGUUGAAGGCGUUUCAGAAAUGUAUCCUCUGUUGUGGAAGACCCUGCGUAGGGGCCAGGAUGAGGGUCCCAGUUAGGGCCCAGAGCACCUCUUAGUGGUGCCCAUCGGCCCGGCAGCAGGGCCUGGGUGUGGGGGGCAGGGUGUGGGGGGUGUGGGAAUGGCGCCCCGGUGGGCGAGGAGGAGACUUCAGGUUUCUGCUAGCCUAGCUCCCCCCACACCCCCUAGCACAGGGUGGGGCAGCACGGCGGGGGGCUGCAUCAGAGGCCCCUAAUUGGACCUGCGGCCGCCAGCGGGAGGGAUGGACACACCUGGACCUGAGUGGUGAGUAGCCGUCAGCUGCCUGGGAGUGUUGCAUGGCCCAGAGACAGGCCCAGCGUGCUCCAGGCCUGCGGGCUGGAGCGCUAGGGGCAUCUGUGG
ensembl:lncRNA